UGCUCUGCACCCUGCCUGCACCCUGCCUGCUGCUCUGCACCCUGCCUGCCAGCGCCCACGGGCAGAGCAAAGGGCCGAAGGAUUGCCUUCUGCUGUGUACAGGAACGCUUCUGGAGACUAACGGCACUUUGGGACAUUGCUUUGGUCUUGCCUGGACACAGGGUGGCCCAAAAGAGCAAUCCUGUCCGCUUAAAAACGUCCUGCACCGACAAGGUGACAGCUCGUCUGACCACCUUCUAUCUCUAGCUGUAUGAAUCUUAGAAAAACGGUGGGGAGCUGCAGUUUAUCUUUCCCUCCCCUCAUUUAAGGGCAAGAUGCUAAACCAGUUACUGUAGCCUUCAAGCAAGUCUACAGCCGACACGUUCUGUGCGUUUCAGUUGAACCAAGACACAAAAUCACUGCUCAGCGUCAAAAGACCCCGAGCGAGGCCCCAGCAAAUGCAAUCGCCUCGUGAUGAACUGUCAGUCCCGGGCACGGCUGGAAGUACGAAUUUCCGGGAUUCUGAUGGUACUGAACUUUGCCAGUAGAAUGAAUCUUUAAGAUUUUGAUAGUACCGAACUUUUAGCAAUGGGAUAAUAAUGCAUUAUUCUAAGUGCUAACAGAGCACGACACUCUGUGGUUUUAUACUUGCAUGGUCCCCACUAAUGUUACUGGAGUUAAAUGUAAUGGUAAAAAUACCUGUGAGACUGUUUCAAUGCCGUUCCAGUCACACUAUAUGUAACUUCAUCAUUCUCACAUGUGCUGGGUUUUUUAACUUUUAUUUUCCCUUCUGCUCCCAUCAGAGUGUCUGCCAACUGCCCCUGUAAUGGAGAUUUUAUGACGUCUAAAAUCCACAACGCUUGGCUGUCACUAGUCCAUUGUGAAAGGCAUUUCGUCGUGGUUGCCAUGUUGAACUGAUUCACAUUUCGUUUACUGCACGUUCCCAUAUGUCUGUAUAUAUACACGCACUCCAUGUGAGCGUGCCAGCUCACACACACACUGAUGUUUAACCAAUAAAUCGAAGGCUAUGUAUAACAGCGUUAAUUAUCUAGAUCCGAGCAGUGAAAUUGAAUAUAAAUUGGGUGAAAUCACCUUAUUCCUUCUCUCCACGCAAACAGAGAAAAGCUGGACAAAAUGUAAUAUUUCGCACAAUUGCACCUAUGCUGGUACAAGAGCAUGCCUGCUCUAUGGUUAGUUUUCAACGUAGAACUCUGUUAAUUCUUUUUUUCUUAAUGUUUGCUCUUUCUUCUACCAACUAAAUAAGACCAUUAUACCAAUGACAGUCACUGUAUUAAUUUAAUAUUCUGAAUAUUAGGUCUCUGGUAACUCGAUUCAGAACAAAAAUUCUUCUUCCAAGUCAGCAUUUCGAAAGAUGUUUUGAUAUAUGCUGGAAGUCAAAUUGCAGUGUUAUGAAUGAAAGAAAAUCAUAAGAUAUAUUGGAGAAAAUGUUUUAUUUCAUUUUGGGUUAAGUCUUCUUUUUGUUUCCAGUUUUUAAGCCAAAAUACCCGUUUGGAAGAUCGCACUUAAAAAUCAAUUUGUAACGAAAAGCACUGAUUUAAGAUUCCCAUGGGAAAUGAGAAACUCAGCUUGAAUUUUUAUUUCAUUGGGUGAGCACAGGGACUUGUGCACGUAGCAAAGGUGAGCCGGGGAAAGCACGCCAGUAAAUCCUUUAGUCGUUUGGAGGUGAUGUGACAGCCAAACGGUCUUAACGAUUUUCUUCAGUGACUCCACUUGAUCCGUAAGGGAAUAGAUUGGAGGAACCUGAUCUCGGACACAUCUGGCUAUUUAAUGGGCUGCAGCGCAAUGACGGGGCGGCGUCUUCUGCUGGGGCUGGCUCCUCCAGCCAGCCCGGGACGGGGGUGCGGGAGCGCAGGCAGCAGCUCUGGGUGCUUCUCCGCCUCGGGGGGAGCUUGGGGGGAAGGAGUGGACGUGGUCCGGCACCUGGUCAGGCUCUGGGGCUUGGGGCUGGCACCGCGAGUGCCACGUCCAACCUGGCAGAUGCCGUGAGUGCGGAGGCUCUACUGGAGAGAUUGAGCUUUAGAGAGCUCCGCCAGACCGACCUCCUUUGUCAAAAACAUGUAAGGGAAGAGUUAAUAACCAGCGAGUAUAAAAAUUCAGGCACUCUAAGGAUUGUAGAGUCAUUUAAAACUUCACCUCCGAAUUCAUUUGAAAGUGUGGUCAAGUCCUCAAACCUCUUUUUUGAACUCUAAAUGCUUUCUAAAAGUUCACCUGAAGAUACGGCUCUGUCAGGCUCCCAGACUGGACAGGAAUAGUUGGAUGUGGGUAGAAAUAAAUGACUGCCUACAUAACUUAGCUGGAUUUCUCGUGUAGCACUUACAUAACUAAAGCGCCAGGAUAACAUUGCCUAAAUAGGCCUAUUUCUGGAGGUGUUUCAUGAUCAGUACCACAUAAUUUAUUGUGGAAUUAAACUUAUGAAACUCAAAAGAAACAUACUAGUAUUUUCCAGAUUUUUAUUUUUUUUAAAUCUGUAAUGUCCAGUAUAAAACCAUCAUCUUUGUUUAGUAGCGAAUUCUGUAGCACAAAUGUAAAUUUUUACUAAAUUCUAUAAAGGCAAUCAAUAAAUCUGCAAAAAUCUACUAUUCGCAAUUAAAUUUUGUAGAACUGUUCCAUAAGUAGACAAAUUGUGAGCUCAGAAGGGAGAUCAGCCUUUUGACGCAUCAUUUUUUGAUGUGAACGCUCCUCCUAAUAAAAAAAUGACGGCAAACAAAAAUAGAUUUUCUGUCAUGAGUGGAAUUGUUCUUUUUCUUAAUGCACUCCAAAGCUUUCUGUAAAGCAUCAUCUGCUCUUUAAAUACAUAUUAUAGAACAUCAAUGAAAGUCAAUACCUUUGGUCAGUGGGUAAAAUAUUAACACUAAUGAUCUGACCUGUUUCUUAUUUAGCUAUUGAUUCUGUCUCUCUCUCUCAUUUUGUUUUCCUGAAAAAACACAAAGUUAGGGGUUUGGUUUUGGAAUCAGAACGACAGAACAGCCCGGGUUGGACGGGACCUUGAAAGAUCGUCUGGUCCAGCCUUUGGUGGGAAGGAGCCCAGGUGAGAUUACCUGACACCCUGCCCCGUCACGUCUUGAAAGCCUCUGGCUGGGGACCGCACCACGUCCCCGGGAGGUUCUUCCAGCAGCCGAUUGUUCUCACAGUAAAAAAACCCAUUCUUUCUUAAAUUGAGAUGAAAUUUCUCCCAGUGCAACUCGGACCCAUUGCCCCUUGUCUUCUCCACGUGGCCGCAUGGUUUUCUUUUCUGGAAACAAAAUGGCAGGGGAUGAAAGGCUUAAAAGCUGUUUCAGCCGUCUCUUCUUGAUCCGGGUAAUUAUUCUGGCUGUUUUUCUGAGCCAAAAGCCAGUAACAGAGUUUAUUCUGGUCAGCUGUAAACAAAGCGGUGUGCUUCCAUCUAUCAAAUUGCUUUGCUUUUAUCUGGAGGUCAGGAUGAAAACCACUGACGGAGCACCUGAGAUGGGUGGCAUCUAAGGCCAGUGCCCAGUGCUCCCCCGUACCCUGCCGACGACUCCAGCACCCGCCCCGGCUUUCCUCCGCAGACCCCCUUCCCUCCUCGUGGUGCGUUGGUGCGCUUUCUGUUCAAACCGCGUUUCUGUCGAGUGCGUUUAGUUGAAGACAGGGUUGUCUGGCUGUAGCUUUAUGUCUGCGUCUGCUGCUGCGCUGAGGCUGCGUGGCCGGGGAACGCGGCUCCCGCACGCGGGGGUGGCUGGAUGCGCUCUCGUGGUCCCGCGCUGAGACUCGUCGCCGCUCCUCUUGCCUCGGCGUUAGGAAACCUCCCGCGCACCCAUCCCGUGGGACGGGGCUCGAGGCGGCGGGUGGGAGCGUUGCAGGAGCCUGAAGGUACCGGGUGUGGGGAGCAGCACCGCGCCGUGCCAACCCUCGGCCAUGGCGGGCACUGCCCCGCCACCGCUGCCGCGCUCCUGCUCCGCCCUCGGAGGGGUUUGUUCGGUGGUUGUUCCUGGUCUGGUGGGUGAAUUAAAUUAUUCUUCGCGUGGCUUAUGUGAAUCAAUCUGUUCGCUGUGGCGCUGGAAAGGUAGGGGCUUCUACUUACUUUAUUUACAUUGAGGAUGCUUUUAGUUGGUUUUUUUUUAAUUAAUUUUAAUUAAGACUGAAAAUAGCCCUUCAAAGAUAUAACUAAGAUUGGAUGGAAAAAUUCAUUUUUGUAUGAGUCUGAACUGCCUGUUUCAGUAAUUUUGAUGAUGAAAAAUUGAGCUGGAGAUUGAAGAUAUUAAAUAAACAAUCGAGUACUUUAAGUUAUAUUUAGUGCCGUUGGGAGUAAAUUAAAUAAGUGGCUGGUACAGGAGCGAGAGGAAGAGGAGCAACGCUGCACCUCCAGUCCUGCUUUCUGAAGGCUGACCUGUACGUUGCAACAUGAAAUGACUUAACCCGACGCGCUGUUCGAAAUGGUUCUGAAUUAUAAUCGGUGCUGCUCCGGGAAGCCGCAUUCCUGCGGUAAUAAGCCGUUACCUGUUGCCCUCAAUUAUUCUUAGGUUACCGAGUACAGUUCAACAGUCUGCAAACAUAGUGAGCUGCGAAGCGGGGGAAGCCCAGAGCCCACGAAGGGCAGAGAGAAGUUGGGAAGGUUUAAAGGGGCUGAGCGGCACCACGGGCAGCAUGUCGCUGGUCACCGGUGCUGCCGCUGCCCCAGGACACGGAGGACGUUCUCGCUGCGGAAACGGGGAUGGCAGUCCUCUCGGAUGCUCAUAGGAACAGAUCUGCAGAGGAAUGCCCUCUGUGCCUCGGGGGAGGCGCGUGAGCCUUCUGAAGGCAGUGCUGGGAAAAACAGACUUGUAAACAUCUGACAAAAAUGUGCCUUUCUAAUAAAUAUUGAAAUGCACCCUUCCCAGAAUUUGGGAGUAUUAGUUCUGGCGCUGGUUCAAGCGUGUCUCUCAUCGAGUGAUUGAUUUCUUUAUUUCUGUUCUCUCCUGCCAGCCCCUGGGAACGUGAUUGAGUGAAAUCCGGAGAACCUUAAAAGUGCAGGGAAUUUAUCGGGGAACCGAACGAGGGGACUUGGGUGGAGGCAGGGCAGGGUCUCAAGCUGUGCACUUGCCCAAGUCCUGCAGAGCACAAAGUACUCUCGAAAGUCUAAUUUCAUCUGCUCAUUUGAAAGAGGGUGGGCUGGGGAGGUCGGGGUAGGAGGGAUGGGAUUGUUGACCCAAGGGGGAUUGAUGCAGGGCUGUCUCCGUGCUGCGAACCAUCAGUGCUUGGUGGUUGUCAUCAGCUGGGUCACCAUUGGCAUCAGUCGGUUCCUGCUGCGGAACUUCAGAAACCCAUUUUCUGUUUUUAUGAGAGAGGGUGGUGCAGAGUGAGUCUGCUGUGUCUGGCAGGGUCGUUUCCUAUCCUUAAACUGGAUUAUUGUACAUAAGCGUGUGUGUUUCUUGUUCAUUCUUUCCUUCUUAGAGCAUCGUGCUCAGGGGGCCAGCAGAACGUGCUCUCUGCUCAGCGCUGGGGCAGAAAGGAUGGAGCUCUGAGGCUGAGGAUAAACAAGGAUCAAGAUGUGCAGGUGACUCGUUACCGGUCGAUUGCCAUCACCACUUUGUUUCUGUAUUUCAGUUACGGAAUUUAAAAUCUAAACCGCUCUUGUAAUAAGCACAAUAACACAAUAGAAGGCAGCGAGGCCAAGUGACAAUAGGCAGUAUUUCUUCUCUCGUGCCAAGAAUCCGAAUGUGAAAAGCAGGUGCCGCAGCAGCGGCUGUGCAAGGAGGACGAGUCGCAGUUGGCAAAGCACAAAAUUCCUCAGAAGCAGGAAAGAAUCACAAGCAUCCCAAAUGCCACCGGGCAAAGCUGGAAAAGCACUGUUUUCUGUCAGAUCAAGACAAUGUUACCAGCGUUUUUCAAGUAACUCACAUGUUGUAUUUUUGUUCAUCCUCGUUUCUGGCAGAAAAGGACAGGCUGCCACCCAGCACUAUCUGCUCUGGCGCAGGGAGCGUUAUCUUGCUUUGCAGCCUGCACGGCAUUUUCCUGGAGCAGAUAAAUUAAAGAGGAUGAUGGCUGUCGGCUGACGUUGCGUCCAGAGCCGUAACUGACUGCUGGGAAGGACAGAAAUAACUGAACGACGAUGCCUCGGGUCCCAGCGGCCCGCCUGUACCUGUACCCGUCCCCAGGAGCUCUCUGCCGUCCUGGGCUUUCUGCAGAGGCGUGGAAGCAAGUUCAGCCAGACGUCACUGAGAAGCGGUCCAGCGAUAUCCUGUGGACAGAAGGGGUAAGGGCAAGGUUACUGCCUGGGGGGGCUGGACUCUUUCCCAUUUGCUGUCGAGGUCUUUAUGGGUAUUUGAGGAACGUGGCAGGUUUUCCAUGUGGGCAUCCACCGAUCGCCGAUUUGAGACACUUCUCUGAAGGCAUGGUCCUGCUCCCGUUGCAAUCAGAUUAGUUCCUGGCAACCCGCGCGAGCCACUGACGGCUGGAGAGAUUCAUGCAAGUUUAAUGAAGCACGAGACUCAGCAGCCAAAAGGAGCCGCUGUGAAGUCUCAGCUGACCUCUCCAGAGCACAGGGACAAAAUACUUCCCAGCCAAACCCGCCGUGUAUCGAAUGAUGUGCUGCAGAACUACAAGGGCUGAUCGGAGGUGAUCUGCCGUCCUGGAGCACCAGAUCUGACAGUGAUCACCAAGGAAACUAAAAAUCGCUGGUGGCUCUCCUCAUCUCCAGCAAAGCUGAGUUCGAUGCUGCUGGUUGGGGACAGCGUGCUUUGCUUGGGCCAAGGACAAGAAGCAUCAAGUGGUUCCCAGGUAAUGGCUCUCUUGUCUGUCUCUUGGGUUUAAAGCCAUCUCAAGCCCCCGGUGUGAUCUUUGACAACUGUUGUUGGAAGGUGAGCUCUACCACAACUAACCUGGGCCUGAAGGAGGCAGACCAGGACCCCCAGUGUCUUUUCCUGGCCCAGAGACAGGCACAGGUACAGCCAGUAUCCAGCAAACGGGACUCCGGUCCGGCUGGUAUCUUCGGGGGCUGCCACAGCAAAUGUGCACAGAAGUCGAUAGCUGAACUCACUUGAUUCAUUUGCACUCCUGCAUGCUAAGUCUGAGCCCACAGAGGUAUGGCUGCGUGUCCUCUGUUUCGGUAAACAGCUGGAGCAAGGGGGACACCCUAAAUCUGAGAUGUGCCCGCUACGAUAAGAGCUCAGUGAAUUAAAGCAAACCCUAGUUCCAUCAAAAUCAAUAGGAAAACUGAAAGAAAGCUCACAAACCAGGAUUUGACCCCAAAUUCGGUAAGGAAGCAACAAAGAGUGAAGAAACUCUGCCUUAGCAGACCCCGGUUACUGCAGCCACGGAGCCCAACUCUGUAGCAAGCUCAGACCCAUGUGUGCAGGGCCAGAUCCUUCCCAUCACGUUCUCCUGUUGGUUCAGAUUCAAGGACCUGACAUAAAAGAGAAACCCAGUUUCCACGUUGCCCUCUCAAACCCGUUUUAUUUCCUGUCUCCUUAACCCAGAAUUUGUGGCGGUGUCAGCUGCUGCUGUUGUGACAGAUGCUGAAAGAGGCUGGCAAUAUUUUUGGUGCUAAAAACAGUACUUCUUUGUCGACAAACUGUUAAAAAAAAAGAUUUACUGUUAUGAGGCUCUUUCCCCUCAGGGUCAUUUUCUAGAGGGAAUAACUUUGGCUGUGUCAGUGCAGGACGUGUGGGGGCACAGCACCAGGGCACGCGCAGACACCAGGGCCCUCGGGGAAGGACAGCGUCCUGCGUGCUCGCACAAGUAAUUCGCAGUCGCGGCUUGUCCAGAUAUGAAUAUCUAUUCACGCCGAGUUCCUUUUCAGUUUUCCUGCACUAAUGAGGUUCUGCUUUAGGUCUGGUUCCCACUGAGAGGCAAAGCAGUGGCUGCAAGCAGGUCCCGGGGAGGCAGAGCAGGAGGGAGCACCGACGGGCACGGGUGGGAGCACAGCCCAGCUCCUCCUCCUCCAGCCCAGCAAGGUGGGGCAGCUGGAAAUGCCUUCUCCAUCAGCCCCGGUGGCUGCCAGCGCUCUGGAGAGACUCGAACAGGAUGGGCUGUAGGCUUUGUUCAGGGCCACUCGUGUCCCUGGGCUCGGUACCCAGCCUCAGGCCAGAGGAGGGAUGCGGGGAUGCGCCGCUGCUCGGUGCGCAGGGGGACGGGCAUGGGCUGAUGCUGCAGGCUUCCUGACAGCCCCGGUCCCGGGCGAGCGCUCUGGUCUGCUGAGGGGUCAAACGCAAAGUAAUUCUUCUGAAGUUCAAAGGAUCUUGAGCCUAUUUACGUGCUUAAAUUAUUUUCCGCAUUGGUGUGUCACGAAUGGUUUCGUUAACUUCCUUCCAGCUGAAAGACAGCAGCCCCGCUCCAGGACUCAUUUGUCCCACACAGCUUUGCUGAUGACUUCGUACCGCAGCGGAAAGCGCCUGUGUCCCCCAGCCUGUCUCUGCCUGAGGUCUCCUCGUUUGUCUUCCACGGAAGCAAAGGGUGAUGUUUCCCACUGGUCUGGUUGAUGUGCUCAUGACGAACCGCGUGUGUUUAAUGCGCGGCCAGAGCAAACUUCUGAGUGCCACUUUAUGGACAUCACGAUGAUGACCUAUUCCCUGCCCCCCCCUCCAAGCGGUCUCUUUUUUCUCUUUUUAGUAUGUCACUUGGAGAGCUUGUGCUGCACAGUUCGUGCUUUUCUUGCUUUGGGAAUUAAUAAUGACAGUUGUCAAUCCAGGACAUUUCGCCAAUGUUGAAUGCAAUGGCUUUUUUUCCUCAAAGACACUUUGGGGAUUUCAAAUGAUCUUUUUGAGUGCUGAAGGAAAUCAUGUCGCUAUGCAGCUCCAUUAAAGGCUUUACAAAUAUUCUUCUACAAUAAGUGUCUCCUGCCUGUACUACAUUCCUGAUUUUUUUCUAUUGACAGGAAUCAAUAGCAGCAUAUAUGGGGAAACAGAUAAAUAUAUAUCUAGCUAACGAGAGGUAAAUGGCCCUUCAGAGCAAGUUGGCCUCACAAAUUUCCACUUGUCUCUGCAUUUUCUUAUUUUUUUGAUAAAUAUUCAGCUACGCAUGUUAUCCCGCUCACCUUGAAUGUAUCUAAACUCUUCAACAUGUUUUCAGCAUUUUGCAAUGUCAGAUGUUGCUUCCAGCUGUAAGAGAAAUUAUCUUUUAUAGUUCUUUAAAGUAAAAGCAAUUUGGAGCAUUUACAUCUGCAGAAACAGUAGCUCCUUGUGGAGUCCAACACCCAAGAGGUGCUUGUUUUUAUACGCUAUUGGACUCUAUCAAAGGCAGCAUUGUAGAGCAGUUAAUGAUUGCCUUUUCAUGUCAGUUUUCAAAUUCUUGUGUAGUGUCUUUAUUAUUCAUACCAAUCUGUCUUUUAGAUCAUCUUCCAUAGACACUCCAGAUUAAAUUUUCUUCAUUAUCAUUAUAGAACUAGAUGAAUAAGUGGCACAUCUGUUCAUGAAGUGGUUUAUUAUCUGUUCUGAUGAGGUUUUGGAUGAAUAGUGGAAUGACUUAAAUAUGGAGCACAGAAAUGCAUACAGGUUUAUGCAUAAUCUUAAAUUCAUAACCAGUAGUGCUAACUUGAGGAAUCUGAUUUUAUACAGAAGAGGCAAUUAUUAAUUAAUGAUCUGGGCCAAUUUAUCAUGAGGGCCAACUUAAUGAGGGACGAGACAGAAAACAAACCUGCAUGUGAAAUAGCACUAAUGAAGACCCACGCAUUGUUUAACCGGUUCUCGUUCCGUCACUGCAAAGGAUAACUCUAUAAAUAUUUUAUAAACACACCAUUCUAGCCAUGUACAGCCAAAUUGCACCAAUAAAUCUAUUUAUCUA